rnacentral:lncRNA from 1 species
GAAGGUGUUUAUAUUGAAGGCGCGCUUGCUGACCGCGCCUUCAGUGUAGAUAUUGAAAGUGUGCGCUUUAAAGGUAAUUGUUAAAAUCUCCUCCUUUCUUCUCCAUUUCAGUCGAAAAUUGCUUCAAGUUUCACCGAAAAAAUAUCCCUAUCGGCCUAAAAGAAAGAAACCCCACUAUUUUCGGAACUAGUAGCAGGGCUGUUAUUGUUCAAGUAAGUUUUAUUUCUCCCAAUUUUUUUUUUGCCCUAAAUUUUAAUAGAUUCUUGUUAAAUUUUAAAUCGCACAGCAAAAUUCAUUAUAUGCCCUCAAAAAAUCUUGCAAUGACUCAUUAUCAACAAUAGGAAUUUCUAUAUAUCGAGCAAUACCCUAUGUGGUCUGAUAUGGCCACCUACCGGAGAUAACAAGCGUUACCUCGUUAGGGUUGGGUUUCAUUAUAAUAUGCAAGUUCCUAACUAGCCCCUCAUACUCAACAUUCAGCGGAAGUUUUACAAUAGAACGAGCACCACAAUUAUAUCUAACUGUGUCAUUUUCAUAAGGCAAAAUACAUACUUUACUUAUCGAACUUGUACUCAAAUCCCUCUUACACACUUGUUAAAUACGGGAAUAUUAUUACACACCAAAACUUUCAAAACUGUGUCAAUAAUACACCUCUUUUGUCAUGUGUCACACACGUGUAUUACACAUAAAAUAGGCACGUGAAAACUAAAAAAUUCAUAUGAAAUUAAGUUUUUCUUUUAUUUUUUCCUUUUUUCAACUAUUUCCUUUUUAAAUUAAACAAAAAAUAUGACCCAUGUCUUCUUUCCC